GGGGUUAUUUCCAGAAAUCACUUGUGAGACGUUAUGCUAGUGAGAGAAAUGGAGUGAAUGUGGUUGUUGGACCCAUCUUCGACUAUGACUACAAUGGUCUUAGGGAUUCAGCAGAGACAAUAAAACAGUAUGUCAGUGGCUCUGUGCAAAUCCCAAGUCAUUACUACAUUGUGGUUACAAGUUGUCUGGAUUACACACAGACUGUUGACUCCUGUGUUGGUCCUCUCAGUGUGUUCUCUUUCAUCCUUCCACACCGAUCAGAUAAUGAUGAAAGCUGUAAUAGUUCAGAGGACAAGACAAAGUGGGUCGAGGAACUGAUAAAGACACACACAGCACGUAUAAGAGACGUAGAGUUACUUAC